GACGAACGCUGGCGGCGUGCCUAAUACAUGCAAGUUGAGCGCUGAAGGUUGGUACUUGUACCAACUGGAUGAGCAGCGAACGGGUGAGUAACGCGUGGGGAAUCUGCCUUUGAGCGGGGGACAACAUUUGGAAACGAAUGCUAAUACCGCAUAAAAACUUUAAACACAAGUUUUAAGUUUGAAAGAUGCAAUUGCAUCACUCAAAGAUGAUCCCGCGUUGUAUUAGCUAGUUGGUGAGGUAAAGGCUCACCAAGGCGAUGAUACAUAGCCGACCUGAGAGGGUGAUCGGCCACAUUGGGACUGAGACACGGCCCAAACUCCUACGGGAGGCAGCAGUAGAGAAUCUUCGGCAAUGGACGAAAGUCUGACCGAGCAACGCCGCGUGAGUGAAGAAGGUUUUCGGAUCGUAAAACUCUGUUGGUAGAGAAGAACGUUGGUGAGAGUGGAAAGCUCACCAAGUGACGGUAACUACCCAGAAAGGGACGGCUAACUACGUG
rnacentral:rRNA from 1 species